GUUAAUCACGAAAAUUGUCUAACAAACGAUGCCGUUUGAGUUGUUUCCAUCGAGUCGUACGGAUAGAGGGAAAAGAAAGCGGGAGCGGGGAGAACACGCUGAUUACGAUGCCGCCGCCGCUGCCGGAAACCAGAAGGAGACGGUGGCGGAGAGAGGAAAUGAGAGGCAGAUGACGUCGGAUGAAGAGGUGGAGGAGUUCUUCGCCAUUUUGAAGCGAUUACACGCGGCGACGAAAUACAUAGAGAAGAUCGAUGGUGCGAGAAGCUUGUUGAUGGGGAAAAGAGCGAAGACGGCGAAGGCGAGCGAGAAAGAAGGCGAUGGAGUUGAAAUUAGAACAAAGAGAAUUCCAGAGCAGAAAUUGGACAGAAAUUUGGAUUUGGAUCUGGAUCUGAACUUAGAACCUGCUUCCGACGAUUCGGCUGCCGAUUCUCGUCGGAAGUAGAAAUUUACGGCGGCGGAGGUUACAGUUCGGCUAUACCUGAAAGAACUCGAUCGCUCCGAUCAUGCGGACCGAUGAACUGAUAUUGGAGGCUUCUGGUUGCGGAUCCGGGAGAAAACGGUUGGUUUCAUUGAUUCCUAGUAGGAUUGGGACGUAAGAGAAUCGAAUCGAGGCUAGAUUGGGAUCACAUGGCCUCGAGAGAGCCAGACUUUUCAAGGUGGGUCGACCAAGCUUAGGUUCAAGCUGUUAGAUGAACACGACUCUCCACAAUAGUAUGAUAUUGUCCACUUUGAACAUAAACUCUAGUGACUUUGCUUUGGGUUCCCCAAAGGCCCCACAC